GUUGAGCACAGCAUAAUCUUGUAGUGGUCAUAUAUUUGCUCUAUACUGUAGUAUUUGCAACUUUUAGCUCUUUAUGAUUCUAUUGAGGAACGCUAAUCUAUGCUUCCGUACUCAAGUGGAAGAUUGAUUCUUUACCACUUGUGGAUUGCCAAUGUUGAUGAAUUUAUACGCGAAUCUUUUCCCUUGUCCUUUCCUUUACCUUUCACAUUUCUCAUCAACAGAUAAUGGAAACUAGUAUUUGAUAGUUUAAAUAGCAACAAUAAUAAAACACUGGCUGAUGUUUCUAUGAAAUGAUCAUACCGUUUGGAUUUUGACUUCAGUCCUUUUUUCCCAUCUGUUUGUUAUUUUGUUACAAAGGUGAGCAUAAGUGCCUAGCCACAAUGAGUGGUCGUGUGACUGAUGAGGUAGAAAUUGAUGAUACAAGAUCGCCCUCAUCGCGUCACCAUGUGGAGAAUUUGCCGUAUGUUCACAAGGUGGGACUGCCUCCAAAGCAGAAACUUUUGAAAGAAUUCACAUCGACUUUGAAGGAAAUUUUCUUCCAUGACGAACCCUUGCGCCAUUUUAAGGACCAACCAAAAUCUCGAAAGUUGAUACUUGGCCUCCAAGCCCUUUUUCCCAUUCUUGAAUGGGGGAGGGAUUACAAUCUGUCCAAAUUCAAAGGUGAUCUCAUCUCCGGACUAACCAUCGCAAGCCUUGCUAUUCCUCAGGAUAUUGGAUAUUCAAAGCUUGCAAAUCUUGAUCCCCAAUAUGGUUUAUAUAGUAGCUUUGUUCCACCUUUGGUUUAUGCCUUUAUGGGUAGCUCAAGAGAUAUUGCCAUAGGACCAGUGGCAGUGGUAUCUCUUCUGCUAGGAACCCUACUGCAGAAGGAGAUUGACCCAUCUAAUAAGGUUGAGUACCAGCGACUUGCCUUCACGGCUACAUUCUUUGCCGGAAUCACUCAAGCGACAUUAGGGGUUCUCAGAUUGGGCUUCUUGAUUGAUUUUUUGUCGCAUGCCGCCAUUGUUGGGUUUAUGGCUGGAGCUGCCAUUACUAUUGGUCUUCAACAGCUUAAAGGUUUCUUAGGCAUAACAACCUUCACAAAGAAGACUGAUAUAGUCUCUGUAAUGCGCUCAGUAUGGACUACGGUACAUCAUGGGUGGAACUGGCAAACAGUACUCAUAGGAGUUUCAUUCUUGGCCUUUCUUCUCAUUACCAAAUACAUUGGAAAGAAGAACAGAAAAUUGUUUUGGGUACCAGCAAUUGCUCCACUGAUUUCUGUUAUUAUCGCAACCUUUUUCGUGUUCAUCACCCAUGCUGACAAGCAUGGUGUUCAAAUUGUAAACCAUAUUAAAAAAGGUGUGAAUCCGGCUUCUGCAAAUCAAAUUUUUUUCACGGGCGGAUAUCUUCUAAAAGGGUUCAGGAUCGGUGUUGUGGCAGGAAUGAUAGCACUUACUGAAUCCGUAGCAAUUGGAAGAACAUUUGCAGCCAUAAAGGAUUAUGAACUUGAUGGAAACAAAGAAAUGGUAGCAUUAGGAACGAUGAAUGUCAUUGGCUCAGUGACAUCUUGUUAUGUGGCCACAGGAUCAUUCUCUCGCUCGGCAGUUAAUUUCAUGGCCGGUUGUAAUACAGCCGUCUCCAACAUUGUGAUGUCGUGUGUGCUAUUGUUAACUCUGUUAGUGAUCACCCCACUAUUUAAGUACACCCCAAAUGCCGUUAUUUCUUCUAUCAUCAUAUCAGCCGUGAUUGGACUAAUCGACAUUCAAGCCAUGAUCCUCAUAUGGAAGAUCGACAAGUUAGACUUUAUUGCUUGUAUGGGCGCCUUCUUUGGUGUGGUUUUCGUUUCGGUUGAGAUAGGCCUCUUGAUUGCUGUUGGGAUUUCUUUUGCUAAAAUCCUGCUGCAAGUGACGAGGCCGCGGACUGCUCUACUGGGGAAUCUCCCGAGGACUAGUGUUUACAGGAAUAUAAAUCAAUACCCAGACGCAACAAAAGUUCCAGGAAUUCUAAUUGUGAGAGUUGAUUCUGCAAUCUACUUCUCAAACUCCAACUAUGUCAAGGAGAGGAUUUUGAGAUGGCUAACCGAUGAGGAGGAACAAGUGAGAGCAAAUAAGCAAACCAGGAUUCAGUAUCUAGUAGUCGAAAUGUCACCCGUUACUGAUAUAGACACCAGCGGCCUCCAUGCCUUGGAAGAACUAUACCGAACCCUCCAAAAGAGAGAAAUUCAGCUUGUUUUGGCGAAUCCGGGGCAAGCUGUGAUCGAUAAACUCUACACAUCCGGUUUUGCAAACUUGAUAGGAGAAGACAAGAUCUUCCUCACGGUAGCAGAUGCGGUGCUUACGUACGCUCCAAAGACAGAAGAACCUUGAAGAGAUCACAUCCGUGUCGGUUCGAUAACUCGUUUCUCGCUCUGCGAUGUGCUUCGACGUCGCGGUGAUGUCGCUAGUGUGGUAGUUUUGCUUGUCAAGUCUCUAGGAAAACUUGCGAAUUGCAGUGUUGAUUUUUGGUGUUUAAAUGGAUUUGGUGCGGGGGCUGGCAAAAUAGUGGGGUUGGUGCAUAAAGGUGUUGUAAAAUCAUUUUGUUGGGGGAAAGCAGGGCCAUGGUGAUGCUGUUUUCCAGCUCUGCCACUACUUUUCAUUGUGUAUCAGUGUGGUGUUCUUUGGUUUGUUUUCCUUACAUUGUAAAGUUCUAAAAGUUGUAUGGGGCUUUUAUUCUUUGGGUUUUAUAAGAGUGAGAAAAGGUUAUUCUGCUCUGAAAUUUAAAUUUCUCUGCAGCCUUUCAAUAAUGGAGUAUAGAACUAGCACGGCUACUAAAACUUAUUGAGCAACUAUUUCAAAAUAUAAAAUCUCGUAAAGGGUAAUUGAAAGAAUUCACAAUACUGAAGUUAGUGAACGAAUCCAGACCGGACAUGGACAAAGUAAAGCAAUGCAUCAAAUUGUGGUUUCUUUUAAAAGCUGACAAUACAUUAUUGUUGGAACAGGAGACAACAUGUAAAAACUGAGAAUAUAUAUAAUAUAGCAUCCAAAAGGACCUCACAGAAUCAAUAUCAUUUAAUGCAAUGACAAGUCUAGAAACAAAACAUCACAAAAAGACUCUCCACUACUAUCCUCUCCUCGUCACCUCAAAAAAACUGCCAAAAGUUGCUCAAGCAAAAGAGAGCACUGAAACCAAUAGUGCCACAAGAAGAGAUCCAACAGAAAUUGCAAGACCAGUAGAAUCAGAUGUCCCUGAAGUAGGUGUGGGAGCACCCCCGUUCGUUCCUGCAGCUGGGGUAGUAGGCACGCCUGGAAUUGAGCUUGGGGAUGGUGCCAUAACUGC